ACCUCAAGUCAUGUGAGAGUACCCGCUGAACUUAAGCAUAUCAAUAAGCGGAGGAAAAGAAACUAACAAGGAUUCCCCUAGUAACGGCGAGUGAAGCGGGAAGAGCACAAAUUUAAAAUCUACCUGGUUUUCAGGUCGAGUUGUAAUUUGAGGAUACGUUUUUGACGUUCUGGGUUGGACUAAAUCCUUUGGGAUAAGGUAUCAUAGAGGGUGAGAAUCCCGUAUAUACCAACCGUAGGGAUGUUAUUAAAUACGUUUCUAAGAGUCGAGUUGUUUGGGAAUGCAGCUCUAAAUGGGUGGUAAAUUUCACCUAAUGCUAAAUAUAAGCGAGAGACCGAUAGCGAACAAGUACAGUGAUGGAAAGAUGAAAAGAACUUUGAAAAGAGAGUUAAAUAGUACGUGAAAUUGUUGAAAGGGAAACGAUUGAAGUCAGUCAUGCCGGUGGGAAUCAACUUAGGGGAAACUCUGGGUGCACUUCUUCGCUUGGCAGGUCAACGUCGAUUUUGAAUGUCAUAAAAUAAUUGGGGGAAGGUAGCUCCUUCGGGAGUGUUAUAGCCCUUGAUAGAUGUGAUGUUUGAGGUCGAGGAUUGCAACGGAUACCCUUCGGGGCUAGCUGCCUGAUCUCUAAUUGGUGUUGGGUUACGGAUAGCAUGCUGACCGUGAUCUAAUUACUGGUUAAAAGGUUAGAGUGUGCAUAAAUUCGUUAAGGACGUUGACGUAAUGGCUUUAAACGACCCGUCUUGAAACACGGACCAAGGAGUCUAACAUGUAUGCGAGUGUUAGGGUAUUAAACCCAGACGCGAAAUGAAAGUGAGUGUAGGUGGGAUCCUUUAUUGGAGCACCAUCGACCGAUCUUGAGAUUUAUCGAUAGAAWUACAGAGC
rnacentral:rRNA from 1 species